rnacentral:misc_RNA from 1 species
GUUCGAUCGUCUGAUCAACGAAAUGUCGGCGCAAUUUAAACUGUUUAUUCGUGGAUAUAUUUUUCCUUUCAUACUGGAAUGUAAGGACGCUGUUUGAAAAUAACUUCUGUAACCUGAACUCAUCGACAUGUUGAACGUAUUAUUUUUGGGAAAUGUUUAUUUGCUUGCUCAAGAGCCAACUUUCAAAACUGUCGAAACAUGUCUUUUAAACUUAAAAGUUUUGUCGUUUUCUUUAAAUUUCAGAACUCGGAAAGGAAACACAUUGCAAGCUUAGUUUCUUUGAUUAUAAUUUACCUCCACUUUAGAUGACACGCCAAGAUUAAAUUUGAUAGAAGAAGUCACCACUACAGAUAACAAAGAGACUCCAAAGAACUACAUCGGAUUGCCUGAAGGAACUUUUAAACAAAGAUAACCAACACAAGGUCACAUUCCAACUCAGAAAAUACACUAACAGCACUGAACUAUCUAAAUACAUCUGGCAACUGAAAGACAACUCCGUAAACUUCAACAUAAAAUGGUCCAUUAUUGCAAGAGCUAGGCCCUACAACAAUACAAUGAACAGAUGCAACCUUUACCUCACCGAAAAAUUCAUGAUUAUCAAGUCUAACAGCAGCAAUUUAUUGAGUAAAAGAUCUGAACUUAAAUCCAAGUGCCGCCACGAAAACAAGUUUUAUCUAAACAACAGUUAAUGCUCCCCCCACAACAAUAGACUUUUGCUAAUACACUCACACCCAUUGUCUUAUUAUCCUUCAUUAAUAUAUCCACAUUCACUGUAAUUUUCACUUUUUCUCACCGAUUGUGCAUAUAGCAACAACCUAUUGUCAUCAGCAUCUAUCCUUUUGAAUACAGACCAGUGUAUAAAAAC